CCGGGCCCUCCACAGCCACGGCCGCUAGCCUGAGGAGGCCCUCCUUCAGCUCCGGCUCUUCCUGCUCGCCGGACACGGACGACCAGGGCGCCUGCGAAGAUGAUGCCAUCUGGGAGAGGUACCUGGGGGCGUGGGCCUGGGGGCUGGUGGGAGGCGAGCGUGUUUCUGAGGAAUAGGCUUGUGCGCCGAGAGGUGCCCGUCAGGUCGCGGGACAGCUGUGCGGCGCGGGGAGCGAGGGGGUCUCUUCGUGCGCUUGAGGCGUUCGUGGAACGGGCGGUGUGUGCCGGGCACGGGGCCAGCCUGGGCGUGCGGUGCCCGGGAGUCGGGCGCUGAAGCGCCACCCGUGGUCUCGGCUUCUUGGAAGGACAGACGCGAAGUCGAUAAGGACACUGGUCUCGAGGCGUUCUGAGGAGUGCGGGUCUCCCUCUUUUCGAGGCUGCUAAGACUGAUGUCAAAGAGCACACUGCCUAUGUUUGCUUGUAGACGUUGCAUGGUUUCGGGUCUGACAUUCAAGUGAAAGCCGAGGGAGGAGGCUGCAGUUCCCCGAGAGCGAGCGUAGCGGGGACCCUGCGUCCCUGUCAGCGCACCUUCCCGCUGCGCGAAGGUCCGAAGCGUGUGGGCGGGGCCGCAGGAGUUCUCCCAGGAGGGUGUCCCCGUCGCUGUCCGCAGUCCACCGCCGGAGGGGGGGGCGGGGCAACGGCCGGGCAGCGUCUGGGCGGCGGCGCGCGCGCGCGAGGAGAGGAGAGGAGAGGAGCGCGCGGCUGCUGGGCCGCCGUCCUGGGAGGCGUGGGAGGCGUCGGCGAGCCGCGCCUGCCUGCCCAGAGCCGAGCCCGGCGGAGUCCGGCCGCGCUGUGCUGCUCUCUCCCGGGCCGGGCUCGUCCGUUCCCCCGGCGUCCGUGGACGCCGCUCCGCGUCCCCGCUGGGCACAGCAGCCCGGGCCCUCCACAGCCACGGCCGCUAGCCUGAGGAGGCCGUCCUUCAGCUCCCGCUCUUCCUGCUCGCCGGACACGGAGGACCAGGGCGCCUGCGAAGAGGAUUCCAUCUGAGAGAGGUACCUGGGGGGCGUGGGCCUGGGGGCUGGUGGGAGGCGAGCGUGUCCCGAGGAAUAGGCUUGUGCGCCGAGAGGUGCCCGUCAGGUCGCGGGACAGCUGUGCGGCGCGGGGAGCGAGGGGGUCUCUUCGUGCGCUUGAGGCGUUCGUGGAACGGGCGGUGUGUGCCGGGCACGGGGCCAGCCUGGGCGUGCGGUGCCCGGGAGUCGGGCGCUGAAGCGCCACCCGUGGUCUCGGCUUCUUGGAAGGACAGACGCGAAGUCGAUAAGGACACUGGUCUCGAGGCGUUCUGAGGAGUGCGGGUCUCCCUCUUUUCGAGGCUACGUUCCGUUGGGGUUUUCACGAAGCCUGUUGUGGGCCUGAAGCUCAGGCCGGUUCAGGGGAAGUGGCCUGUCGAGGGCCACGUAAUAUUUGUGUGCAGAGGCCAGUGCUUUCCAAAGCCCUUGACUGUGCAGAAGUCUACCUGUUAGGGGUGCAGUGGGGGCUGUCCGGGGAGCGUUGUGAGCACAGGUAUGUGCCCCACACUUGAAAGUCUGGAAAGAAAGC
rnacentral:lncRNA from 1 species